rnacentral:rRNA from 1 species
GAUGAACGCUGGCGGCGUGCCUAAUACAUGCAAGUCGAGCGAAUGGAUUAAGAGCUUGCUCUUAUGAAGUUAGCGGCGGACGGGUGAGUAACACGUGGGGAACCUGCCCAUAAGACUGGGAUAACUCCGGGAAACCGGGGCUAAUACCGGAUAACAUUUUGAACCGCAUGGUUCGAAAUUGAAAGGCGGCUUCGGCUGUCCCUCAUGGAUGGACCCGCGUCGCAUUAGCUAGCUGGUGAGGUAACGGCUCACCCAGGCAACGAUGCGUAGCCGACCUGAGAGGGUGAUCGGCCACACUGGGACUGAGACACGGCCCAGACUCCUACGGGAGGCAGCAGUAGGGAAUCUUCCGCAAUGGACGAAAGUCUGACGGAGCAACGCCGCGUGAGUGAUGAAGGCUUUCGGGUCGUAAAACUCUGUUGUUAGGGAAGAACAAGUGCUAGUUGAAUAAGCUGGCACCUUGACGGUACCUAACCAGAAAGCCACGGCUAACUACGUGCCAGCCGCCGCCGUAA